CAGUGUUACAACUCUUUCAGAAUUUGUCUAGCAAAUUCUGGUAAAGACUAGAAAGCAA
ensembl:snRNA U7 U7 small nuclear RNA